rnacentral:lncRNA from 1 species
GCAUGUCCAAACCUACUUUUACAUAGUUUUAUCUCUCAUAAUUGCAAGGAAAAUUCUAUUUCAACAAAGAAGAAGCCUUUAAAUUAAAUUACUUUUUUUUUUUUUGCAGUGGGUUCUUCUAUCUAUUUUAAUUGGUAAGUUAUACAUGCACGCACACACACAUCUUUUGAGAUUCUAAAAGGACAUUCUAUGGUGUAAUUAACAACUUAUGACUUCUGAAUGCAAAUUAAUGGUAACACAAAAAGCAUAUCUGUCAUGCAGCUGGACAGGAAAGGUUCAGAACUUUAACCAGUUCAUAUUACAGAGGAGCACAAGGGAUCAUCAUGGGUAUGCAUGUCUGCGUUACCCCUUUUUAUACUGUAGAAUUUGAAUUCGAUAUUUUUCAUUCUAUUAACUUUUUUGUUUAUAUCGUGCAUUGAUGAUGAAACACAUUUGGAGUUUAGUUUUUCAUACACAGCUGGCUGUUUUGAUAUCUAGCAUGCUGAAACUGCUCAAAUAUCUCAUUUUCUGGUCAGCAAUCUUGGUUUAUCUUUCCUAAUCCUUCAAUUCAAUUAACCAACCUCAAUAGCUUGGUGAUCUAUGUACACAAUUCUGGCCGAUAGUGUAAGAACUGAGAAGUACAUCUAUUGUUAUCUUUGGCACAUAAAGAUUGAUGAGAAUUUGGAUAUGGCAGCAAGAUCAAGCCUACAACAAACUCCAAAAUCUAUUUAGAGGAUCACUAUUGUGGAAUACAAUGAUCUCUAAAAUGCAAAUAAAUAAAUAUAUAAUCCAUAAAAAAGAAUUAUCUGUUAUGUAAUUAUACAUGCUAAAUGCCAAGAAUUUUGCAUUCAUAAGCAAUGAAUCGGCAAGUUAUCAAGGAUAACAUGUAAUAUUAUGUUGAUAAAAUAAUUAAAAUGGACUACAAUGAAAGAUAUGCUAAGGAUCACCUUAGGAUACAAAUUAAGGAUCAGCUGUUCAGAUCCUGAUCUCAGGUGUCAGGUGAAAUCCAUUUAGUGCUAUGAAGCAUGGAUAUAAAUACUCUGGUUCGGUCAACCUUCAGCAAAAUUAGGAUAGAAUAUGGCUAUGAUACAACAAAGGGUAAAUAAAUAUGAACACAUGUGCAAAAAAAGCAUCUGCAGUGCAUAAUAGGUUAACAUGAUAACAUUGUCUAUACUCUAUAAUAUAACAUUAAUAUUUCAAGUACUAACUAAAAGGUCCAUAUGAUCAAAGAAAACCUCUUUCUGUCAUACCUAUCAAGGAAGUGUAUGGAUUAAAAAAAGAUACUUAAAAUAAGGACACAUAAGCUUGCUUUAUCUGGUGCUUAUUAUUAUCCAAUACAUAUCGAAUAUGGCUAUGGAACAGAGACCUGUCAAUGGGUCAGGUCAGAAUUUGACUUGGCCCGAGACCUAACCCAACCUGACUGACCCAAGAAUGCCCCCCAAUAUCUUGAUAUUGUAACAACGAGAAGAAAGACAAAUAGAGAGGGAGAAAGCUAUGAGUGAGAGUUUGAGGUGGGACUAUGAGAUUGUCUUACAGAUCAGAUGGUGGAGAUUUGGCACAUGUACAAUUGCUCUUAUCUAGCCUCCAAUGAGGACUUCAUCGUGAAGUCACUUGACAAGGCCCUCUCCAACCCACUCAAUUGUGAGCUAGCCCACAAGAGGCCAUGACCCACCAGCUCGCCACUGUCAACCUCCUUGAUGCCUCCCUCUUUGCAUGGCCAUCUCUUCCAGAUCUCUGCCCUUUUCUGUUCUCCUCCAUAGAAGCAGCAGCAUGUGCCCUUGAGAGAGGGAGGAGAUGAUGCUGGCGGUGGCUGUUGGUAGUGGCUCUGGAGAGAAAGCAGAGGUUGAGAGUGGCCGAUGGGCAGCAAUGUUGGGGAGGGAGGGAGGGUGGAUAUAGUCGGCAAAGGAGAGGUAGAAAUGAGAGAGGUUCUCUCUCAUGCUCGAGAGAGAAAACAGGGAAAAGAAUAAGAGACUGGGGAGAGAGGAGAAAAGAUCUCAGCCUUUACUUUUGGUUAAAUUCGGCUAAUUGGGUCUAAAGCUCUGAUUGGUCAGACCCAAUUGGUUGACAGGUCUAAUGGAAUUAGAAGUAUUCAUGUAUCUGGAUUAAGUACAUAAAAAAACUACCUAUGUAUUAUAUUAUAUUUGGAAUGCAGUAUUUUGCUGGUUUUGAUAUGUAAUCAUAAUCUAAUCUAGAUAAGUGAAGGCACUGUGAAUUAGGGAAAGAGGUUACUGUAUGAGGAUUCUGUAGCAAGAAUUUGUUCUUUUCCCCAAAUUUACAUAUAUGUUUUCUGCAUGCAAUUUGCAGUUGCUAAGGGUCAUCAUCAUCAAGGAAGCAGGGUAAUAGUUGCCAGACUAUCACUUUUUGGUCGGGAAUUGAUGAUGAUGAUGUUCUUGCAGUAAUGCUCAUACAAACAAUUGCAUGGAGAUAAAUGUUUUACCUUAAUAGUUCACUAACUGAAUUUCUUAUUUAAUGUUGGCUAGCUUGAAAAUUAUGUAAUGUUCUAAUGUUGUACAGCUUUAGGUAGUAUGGAUAAUUGCAGCAAUUGAAGAGAUAGAUACAUGUUAGGAAAAGAAUCUCCUACCCUAGUUCAUUUGUCAUGACAACAUGUUAGACCUGGGCUUUCAACAUCUCAAUCUUUAGUAUGUUACUUAUGAAGCAAUAUAGUAUUUUUGAAAGUCAUGAAAGAUUUUCAUUAAUUACUAUUACAUAUAGAUACCCAUCUGCUGUAAUCUGUGAACUGAAUUUAUAAUGAAAUACAUUCUUCAACCCCUAGAAACCAUAUAUCCAAAGACUCAACAUCUCUUCUACUGCUGAUGUAGUUUAAGUUUGAAUUAGGUAGGUGUAUAUUUAUGUAUCUUAAUUUUUUUUAGUUUUAUUUUUGGUUAACUUGCUCUUUUAAUUAAGUAUGGAGUGUCUUAUAUUGAAGUCUUCUGGGAGACUCUUAGGAUUUUCUGUUUUCUAGUGGUGUUCUCGUGGUGGGAUUUUUUAUUCCCAUUUCGAGUAGGAAUAUGACAAAGACUCUACUUUGAUCUAGGUUGGACAAGAAUAGUUUUAUACUUAUCUGGAUUUGACAUUGAAGGAUUUUGAUAGCCUUAAAUAUUGGAUGGAGUUGCAAAUUUUGCUAUCCUUGGAAAGUCCCUUCUUUUGGCUGGAAAAAUAGGGUAACCAUCUAUAACUGUUCUUGUAUACUAGGGAGGCAGAUUCUGUAGAGUCAUGAUGCCUUUAGAUAUAAAAGGAGGGAGGUGGUGCAGAAUCAGUUUUUGGUUAUAGAUAUUGAACAGAUUGAAGUUCGUUUCCUUUCUUUUGAGCAUUGCAGGUCUUCUAUUUUCUUUACUCUACUGAUAUUUCCUUCUUAUCUAUAUUCUUCUCUCACACAUCCUCUCCUUGGUCCUUUUUUCAUUCUCCAAUCUCAGUUGCUGAUUUGGCUAUCCUGAAGAAUAAAAGUCAGAUCAAAUCAUAUAGAAAUCAUCUCUACAAAUUUAAAUUAGUUCACACAUUUCGAUUCUAGCUGGACAGCUGCCAACCAAUCCGUAAAAUCUGUUUGGUGGCUCUACAUUUAAAAAGUCAGAUCUGGAGUGGACCUUGCAAGUUGCAACUGUUUAGUUGUCUCAGUUACCACCUAAAUAUUUCACUGAAAAAGCCAAAUGGCAAUUAUUAUUUGUCAUCCACAACAAGCAAUCUAGAUCUAGAAUUUAACUCAACAGCAAACUUCAAGUCAUCCAACAUGGCCUUGAUUUCUGUCAUAGCAGCAUUAUGUUCUUAUUUAUCGCUGCAAACAUAAGAAAGGGUAGUUGUAAUCAUGUCCACAUCCACUGAUGCCAAAUCUUGUUUGCUGUAAAGUAAUGAUGUAAUUUGUUUAACUGCACUGUAAACUUGUUGAAUUGUGUUGCAUAGGCUGCUGAUCUAGUUUCAAGCUUAUGCCAGCUGCAUCCACCUCUUCUGUGCGAAGAUUUAUUGUCAUCAAGCUAUGAACACUUGCACGUUAUGUCUGUGUGUAUUAUUUAUUUGAGACUUAUGACAAGAUUCAUGGAACAUGUUGAGCUUCUCAUCAAUAUGGUGAGGGAUCGGAUUGAUUAUUGGAACAAUAUUGAUAUCAACCGGUUCUUAUUGAUCAUCUUGUUUUGAAAUGGAUCACUGUAUAUGAACUAGACCUGUUCAAAUGCUAGAUGGCACGUCUGAUCUGCUCAAGUCCAUAGAGUUCCGAAUUGGCCUGGGCUGGGCCUAAAAUUUAAGCCCAUUCCUUAAACAGGAUGGACUUAGGUUUAUAUUUGCCUGGCUUGAGCCAAAACUUGUAUAAUAUAUCAUAUAUAUCAUAUAAUAUGAAAUAUAAUAUAAAAUAUUUUCCUCAUCUUCUCCGCCCUCUCUACUCCUGUCUCCUCAACUCCCUCUCCCACCACACCCUUAAACCCCUCCCCCACCUCUCCCCAUGCUCCCCUUCCUGCCUGCAUCCCCACCACCCUCUCGAGGCCCUACGCCUCCCCCCCAUCCUUCACCUUACCCUACCAAAGUCGAUCUCCUUCACUAGACUCUUGGAUUAGUUUCAGUCCUCUUGGAUCCUUACCACAUUUGUUAGUAGAAUUAGCUCUCUCCGCCCCCAUGGUGGCCACAAUUUCCUUUGCCAUGAUGUGUGCAUUCACAUUGUAACCCUAUUUGGUAUCCAUCUGUCGCUAGGAGGGCAAUUACUAGGAUGUGGCCAUCUACCAGGAUGGGUUGGAAGAUGGCAGGGUCUAGCAGGCGACCUCGCUAAUGAAUCCAAGGGUUUCAACAUCGAGGGCGAGGUGGGCAAUGAGGAGCGGGGCAUCCUUGCCGUACAAGCCAAUGAAGGUGGUGUCAGCAAGGUUGAUGAGGGAGACAAGAAACUUGUUUACCUUGUCAAUGAGGACCAUCUCGACCACCUCCAUGAUGAGGGCGUUUGUGAUGUGGAGGCCGUUGCGGAACUGGGGCUGGUGGUCAAGGCAGAGGAGUCAUGAGUUCAUCUUUCAAUCCAUGCACCUUGGGAUCUCAAUGAAUAGGAAGAGGAAUGUAAGCCUUUUCGAUGUGGUGGACAAGUUUUGAUGUUCCAUGUUGACGUUGGAGAUCUGAUUGGGAUAGGAGAGGAAUUGGCCAUUAGGAAGCCCAGGGCUUGGUUUGAAGCCUGAAGUCUGAGUAAGUAGCGGGCUCGUGCCUGGAAAGUUGGACCAAAGGCUGGGCCAUGCCAGGUCUCAGCCUGGCUAAUUUUAGUUGUUCCUUGGGCUGAGCCUGGCCUAUCCUGCCCAUUGAAUAGGUCUAAUAUGUACUUGGAAAGGAUGUUACUAGAUUCAAAAUGUGCUUGGGAGUUGUCCUUUUAUAGGAAGAGGUUGUGGUGGGGCAAAGGUUUCAAGUGUUGUUUAUUGAGCUAGUAUUCAUCAUUGCUAAAUCUACCAAAUCGCAUUAUCCUAACAACUUGUAGUGCUAUCAUACAUUAAUAAGGAAUGAAUGCAAUCCUAAUAGUUGUUAGCCUAGAGAACUAAUAACAUAAAGUUUUUUCUUCCAACUCGAUUGUUUUGAAUGGCAUUUAAAGGUGGAUAAGUAUGUUCAACUAAUAAAAAUGCAACUUUGACUCAUCGAAUGAGCAGAUAUCCCAAUUAUAAUAGUAGAUUAACAGCGCACUUAAAAAAAUGCUAUUGACAAUUUGAAUCUAUAAAAUGAUGUAAAAGAUACUGUUUGGAGCUCCAUCCUCUUCAAAUGUAGCUUGGUGAAGUUAUGCUGAUUUGACGUCAUGUUGUAAAUGCGGAUAAACAUAACUGCUCAUGAGCAUGUAUGAGAACCAUAUGAACACGUAAGCAAUCUUAAUGUUAUUUAUCUUUCUUCUUUGAAUGAGAGGUUUCUAUACUUAUUAUUCUUGAGAAAAUGGCUAUAAAUUUUUGUUUAAGAUGACACAACAAUCCAAGAAAUAUAUGUGAUAUAUACUUUAACACCCUUUCUUUCAUAGAAUCAUAAAACUAUGCAUGGAAUCGGAGUAUGCUGAACCAUACUGAAUCGAAAGGUUUAAGAUGAAUUGAACCAAAUUGCCAGGAAUUGAGAUGGUUCAGUUAAUCGAAAUAGGUCAUCUUACUAUAAUAGAACUCUUUACCCUCCAAUACCUCUCCUCCCCCAACUGUGUUCAACUUUGAUCUCUCCCCCCCUCCCUCCUCUUCAAACCUUUAGCCGAUGCUGUCACUCUCAAUUGAUGCCAACAUCAAUGCCAUCACCCUCAAUCAAUGACGGUGCCAACGCCAUCUCCCUUGAUCAAUGCGGACGUAGGUGCCAUUCCCCUUCGGGACAUUUGAACAGGUAUGUCUUUCUCCCCCUUCCUCUUCGUCUUCCUCUCCUCCUCUCCCUUUUCUCCCCUUCAUCUUCUCUCCCCCAACACCCACACCCCCCCUCCUGUUGGUUCUCCUCCUAGGGUUGGGGUGGGUUUCUCCCUCUCUCCCCUCUUCUCUUGUUCUUUCAUCUCUGUACACUAUAUCAUGGUACGAUAUGUAAUGGUAUUGUACCAAACUGGUUGCUGGUUGGUAUGAUGCUGGUACCAAUUUGGCAAACCUUGCAUGAAAAAAUUGAAAGAAGAAUGAAUUGUAAAUUUAUAUAUUUUUGUAAGCGAAAAUGAUCAAAUGGUGUGUUUAUGAAUCUUUCACCUCUUUUUUUUUGUUUUCAAUAACUAACCUAAUAAGCGUCGAUUUCCUGAGAGAGUAAGACCCAGCAUCAGAUAAAUAUCUUAUCUCUUACAUCUUCUUAGAAACUUAUUAUAGCAAACCAUCAACUGAACAAAAAUGAGAUCAGCACUAUAUAAGAUUCACACAUUCAAAUUGACAAGAGACUGCAAAACUGAAACUAUAAACUUGUCCAUCGUAAAUAGCUUCAAAUAUUACUUGGAUAAAGAAACUUAAGAUUGAAGGGAAAGAGUUGUAGAUCUAUUCAGCAGCACUAGUGACUCUUAGCUAGUGAUAUCUAGGCAUUACAAGAAAAUUUGGUUCUCAAAUUAUUCAGAUUGCCUUGUAGGUGGGACAAUAUUAUCUGAUCUUUAUAUCUGUCUCCGUCCCUUAAUCUUCUAAUAAACUCAGAUGACAAAUGAAGUUAAAGGGGCAAAGAAGGAACUGAGAACCACUUGGGGCUUGUUUGAAUAUUCCUAUAGCUAUAGGCAAGGUUUGUUGUACCAUACCAAAUAGAGUGGUAUGGGAUAUACCAUACCAUACUAGUAUGGUACCGGUAUCUGGUAAGAGGGGUGUAUCGAUAUUUGGUAUGCCAAAUCGGCCCUAUACCAAUACAGUAACAGGUUGGUAUUGGUAUGGGCUUGGUAUCAAGACGGUGAACCUUGCCUAUAAGAUUGGGUUAAAACUUCUGUAGAAAUCAGGCUUAUUGGCCCAUCAAGCUUCCAUUUUCUAAGAACAUGUCCAAACUUAGCUUAGAUUUUAGUCUUUAGGCUGCAGGCAGAAAAAACCUAUAAAAGUCUUUUUCUCCCAUAGGAUUUGGGCUGGGUGGAGUUUACUUGAUACAGUGUCAUGCAUAAAUGGAUGGCCUAAUCCAUGAAUCCUAUAAGAUUUUCCACCCAAUCCUGUAGGAUAGCUAAACAGGUCCUUAGGAGGAAAGAAUAGGAUCAGAAAUAGAGGACAAGAAAGCUGAAAGAGAGACAAAGGUACAUUGAACAAGUGGAAAGGAAGACAAUAUAACUGGCUGCUUUUAUUCUUCCAUCUCUUUUAUCCUAUAGCUCAGAAGUAAGGGAGGCAUGAGGAGAAAAGGACUGGAGUAGGGAUCUAUAUUUGCAAUCCUUUCUGGCCCUAGCUCAAUGUAUUCUACUCAUGCAAGACUGAAUUCUGGCUGGUCCAUAGUCUGAAUAUGGGUUGUGACCACCAUUUUCAUUGUGUUCAAUUCCCAGACAUUGAAUUAAACAACCACUUCUUGAAGACAAGAAUCUAG